rnacentral:rRNA from 1 species
AUUGAACGCUGGCGGCAGGCUUAAUACAUGCAAGUAGAGCGGUGAUGAGGUGCUUCCUCCUCAACUUAGCCGCGGACGAGUGAGUAAUACUUCGGAAUCUGCACCUCAAUGGGGGACAACAUUCCGAUAGGAAUGCUAAUACCGCAUACGUCCUACGGGAGUAAGCAGGGGAUCUUCGAAUCUUGCGCUAAUAGAUGAGCCUAGGUCGGAUUAGCUAGUUGGUGGGGUAAAGGCCUACCAAGGCGACGACCUGUAGCGGGUCUGAGAGGAUGAUCCGCCACACUGGGACUGAGACACGGCCAGGACUCGUAGGGGAGGGAGCAGUGGGGAAUAUUGGACAAUUGGGGGAACCCUGUUCCAGCCAUGCCGCGUGUGUGAAGAAGGCCUUAUGGUUGUAAAGCACUUUAAGCGAGGAGGAGGCUACUGAGACUAAUACUCUUGGAUAGUGGACGUUACUCGCAGAGUAAGCACCGGCUAACUCUGAGCCAGCCGCCGCCGUAAUAC